AGCUUUAUUUAAAAUGAGAUGAAGUGGUAACUCAGUGUCUCCCAGGACGAAGUGAAUGUCCUCAGGAAGCCAUCCAGAGGCGGCAGCCUUUACUAUAGGCAUUAGAUUGGUGGUUGAGAUACAUAGCACAACUUACAUUUUAUGUAGCAGUUUCCCCUUGCUAUUAUGAUUGAGCCCCACAAUUCCUUUGGGAAUCUUUGCUAUAACUCCUUUUACUGGCAGUGGGACUGAGCAUCAAAGAAGUUUGUUUGCUUUAAAUCCCAAUCCCCACAGGAAAUGACAAAGCCGGAGAAACUCUGAAGCAAGCCGGGGCUCAGGGCAAGCAAGGGUCUGCUGCCAGACCUUAGACAGUAUGGGCUCCUCCAGCAUGACAUGCAGUCACCGCGUGAAUGGGAGCUGGGCCUGCUUCACGGAGAGAGGAUACGCAAAGUGUUCAGCAUGGGGCUAGGCAUUGACACGUCAUAAAAGCUGGAUAUUCUUCGCCUUCCACCGCAUUUUCCACUGAGCACAAGGGUGUUGACAAACACAGCCACAGGCAUCUCCCAACUUACGCAUUUCCCCCAAACCACCCAGGCACACACCCCUAGCAACCCAGUCUGGAACUGACUACACUACACGGUCACUUCCCUCUCAUCUGGUGCGCCCUGGGUGCUGGGGGCUUUUCUCCACGCUCCCUUCCCCUCCCUCAGUCCUGGGAUCCUUGCCACACCUUCCUGUACCUGCGUUCCAGCCUCCCAGCUCCGGAGCCUCCUCUGCGUGUCAGAUGGAUGAACCAAGGGCUGGAAAGGAGACAGGACCAUGCAGAAAAGUCGAUGUCUACCAGCGCCUACUGACAUGCUCACCAAGCCUGAUCGGUAAACAGUUGCUUGCAUUUGAAGACUGUUUUUGAACUUCGCUCAACCUCAUUCAGGGCGAGGUUCUCAGACCUCCUCGGAGGAGACACUUGAACCUUCUGAAAGACCUUCUUCAGCCCUGUAGAGCCCUGCUGGCUACUGAACAGGUGGAAGCGGGUGGGGAGGUCACAGGUGCAGGGUUGUAGGAACAGGAAAGUUUCCUGAGACUGUCCUAGUGAGGGAUCUGGAGCCCAGAGCCAAUCUCUGCAGAACGAAAACUCACCCUGUCC